AUUGAACGCUGGCGGCAGGCCUAACACAUGCAAGUCGAGCGAGCGGCGGACGGGUGAGUAAUGUCUGGGAAACUGCCUGAUGGCGGGGGAUAACGACUGGACACGAUAACUAAUACCGCAUACCAUCAGAUGUGCCCAGAUGGGAUUAGCUAGUAGGGGGGGUAACGGCGCACCUAGGCGACGCGCCCUAGCUGGGCUGAGAGGAUGACCAGCCAAACGGGAACUGAGACACGGUCCAGACUGCUACGGGAGGCAGCAGUGGGGAAUAUUGGACAAUGGGCGAAAGCCUGAUGCAGCCAUGCCGCGUGUGUGAAGAAGGCCUUCGGGUUGUAAAGCACUUUCAGCGGGGAGGCGUUACCCGCAGAAGAAGCACCGGCUAACUCCGUGCCAGCAGCCGCGGUAAUUC
rnacentral:rRNA from 1 species